GAGUACGAAGAGACCUCAAAGAAAAGGUCAUUCUUCCUUUGAAAUAUUCGCCUUUUUAAGGCGUGGAAGUGAAGGAAGUUGUCGUCUUUCUUGUUACAUGCUGUACCUGGUGAAGCGCAAACAUCGCCGACUCUGUUAACAUUUCGUGGAGGAUUGCGGAUGUCACUGUGACAACAUUAUGUCUCAUCAAAUUAAUAUUUAGCUCGUAUUUCAACUGAUGCAUGGCGCAGAAAGCUGCUGUCUUCACGGUUUUGCCUUAAAUUUGUGGCCAACACAACAGAAGUUUUUUAAAAUUUAAAAGGAUCUUUGUAGAGAAAUUUACAAUUGAUUAAUCUGGAUUUGAUUUUUUGAGUAAUAUUUCUGUUCUUGAUUUCAAUUCCAGUGGUUAAUUAUUAAUUACAUACAAAAGUGAAAAAAAAAUUAAAAAUGAACUUUGGCAAUAAAUCCCCUUGCAAUACAGUACAAUUAAUUUUGAUUUUGAUACUUUGUUAUUUAUUGACAACAAUAACAAACUCAUUAUGAAAGUUACGAAUUUUAGAAAUUAUCAACCUACUUGGAAAGUUUUUACCUUAAUAUAGCAAUAUUGCUUUAGGCCAAUAAUUUUCCUUAUUUUUUUAUGUUUUUUUUCUACUUCUCUAUUUUCCUAUUCCUCUACUUUUAAUUUCUUUUUUAUUUAUAUUUCUGCGUUCUACUGCUUAUUUUUAUGGAUUUAUUUCUUUGUACGCUUUAAAUUUAGAUCUUAGUCCAUAUUUUUCUAGAUCUUUCCAUAAUUAAUUUUGUCUGCUUCUGAUUUUUAGAUCAAUCGUUUUCUAGUUUCUCUACACUUUUACUGUCUUCUUUAUUUUGUUUUGCUUUAUUUUAUUUUAUGUUCUUCAUAUUUUUGUGAGAAAUUUUAUUAAAAUUUAAACCAACAAAGAAGUUGGCUUUAAAGAAUACUCUUAUAUUUUUCAAUUAUUACCCAACUGAGAUAGUUUUUGUUACCUCUUUUAUUAAUACCAGUUUUUUUAUCCCCUUGUUACUUUGUUUUUUUUUCUGUUACUUUAUUUUCUUUCUCCUCUUCCCAUUUUAAAUUUUUCUUGACUUUCAACUUAAUUAAUUCAGUUUUCCACAUUCCAUGUCUUUGUUUCUGAUUUUUAUAUCAGUAGAUAUAUUAACUGUAAUUCUAUCUUUAUUUCUUAAUUUUUUUUUCUUAAUUAUUCUUAUUUUUAUUUACACACAUCUUAGACUGGUUAUUAUUUUUUCAACUUGCAAUUAAAUCAUAAACAAUAAUUAUAUCACAUGACAUUGUCACCCCACGUGACCAAAGUGAAGAAGGAUGAAGAAAAAUUCUUUAAAAUAAUUUAAGCAAUUAAAGUAAACACUGUUGCCUAUUUUUAUUAUGCAUUUGUUUCUUUGUUUGUACGUUUUAAAUUUAGGUCAUGUGUCCAUAUUUCUAUAAUUAAUUUUGGCUGCUUCUAAUUUUUAAGUCAAUUUAAGUCAAAUGAAUUCUAGUUUUUCAAAUAUUAUUAUCUUCUUUAUUUUAUUUUUUUUUAAUUUUUAUUUUGUUUUUCAUAUUUUUGUGAUAAUUUUAAAAUACUUUGUAUUAAUAAAUAUUCAGAGACAGUUUUCAAAUAUACCUUCUUGUAGUACUUAUUAUUUUUAAGUAUUUUAUGCUGAUUGCAGUAAAUUUUAUUUUUUAUUGUGAUAUGGAUCUUGUUUUCUCAUUUUAUUAAAGAAGGUAGCUCUAAAGAAUACUCAAAUUAUUUUUAAACUGUUACCCAAGUGAGAGAGUUUUUGUUACCUCUUUUAAUCAUCCCUUCAAUAAUACCAGUGGAGAAAGCUUAUACUUACCGUCUCCUUUAUUUUGUUUUCUUCUCCAUUUUUCAUAUCUUUUUGGAUAAAUUACAUUUUUUUGUAUCAAUAUUCAGAGAUUAUUUUUUUAACUAGAAACAGAUAUUUUUAUUGCCCAUUUUAAUAAUCCCUCUAUUAAAGCUUAGUUUAAUUAUUUUUGUUUUUGAUUUUUUUGUUACUUUAUUUUCUUUCUCUUCUUCUUUCUUUUCCCAUUUUUUUAUUUCUUCACAAUUAGUUGAUUUAGCCACAUACCUCAAACCAUCUCUUUGUGCAUGUUUCUGUUUUUAAAUCAGUUGGUAAUUAACUGUCUUUGUAAUUUUAUUUGUAUCUUUUUACACACACCUUACUAGACUUGUUAACCAUUUUUUGUAAUUUGCAAAUUUUUUUCAAAAAGAGUUGGAUAUUAUGUUUAUUUAAGCUGUUUUCUUCAUGUACAGUCCGGGACAUUUCUAUUUGGACAUAAAAAAUUUGAAUUUUCUGACAUUUAUACGUAUAUUCAGCGUCUAUGUGAACAAAAAAUGUUCUCUCUCUCAUUCUAUGGUCCUUGAGCUUUAAUAACAGGGACAUUUUUUAAAUUGGUAGCAUUAGAAAAUGACAGUAAACAGCUGACUGAUGUAAACAAUAACACAAUAACAAAGGAAAUGUUAUAAUUUUAAUCUAUAUAACCAGUGGCUGCUUUAAAAGUGUGUACUAACGGGAUAAUAAAAUAUUUACGCAAGUAUUUUUGAAGGUAGAAACAUUACUUGUCAUAUAACAAUUAUAGAUUAUAUGAUGAGACGGGAAUGGCACAAUACAGAAUUGCAGUCAGUGAUUGUGCUGGAGAAAGCUGCUGUGACGUACUGACAGUACUGACUGUCGGUGGUUGUAUGGUUUGCGCAAUUUGUGAUAUAUUUUGUGUGAAAAACUGGAAAACAAAGUGCAUACCUGCAUAACCUCACUUAUCGCAGUUUUGCACAUUUUGAUGAUGGGAAUUGCGGUUCAAGUAAUUAUGAGUUAUAGAUGGAGCUCACUGUUUACUUCAAACUGAAGCCUUUUGGGUCCACUUUUUUCGUUGUUAUUUCCUGGUAGCGACUCUUGUUUCAAGCAGAAUGGGUGUAAAGUUAAAAAUAAUCCCAUAAAAUUGUUAAUAUAACUCCGUUGCACUGGCAUGGGGUAUUUGAAAACUUACGUUUAACAAAUACGUCACAAAGUCUCAUCCAUCGUCGAAAAACAUAAUAAGGGCUUUAUAACAACAAGCGCUUUCUGAUUUUACUGUGGACGUGUGGAAGAAUAGUGUGAAAUAUUGCGAAAAACCAACUUUUACUCUUGUUUAAAUUUUUGUACGUCUCUAUCUGAGAGUAGUCGUCUUUUACAAAAAAUAUAGCCUACUAAUAAAGGAAAUUAAAGUGUU